AAUCCAUGUUGUGGGCAACGUAGAAUCAAAUCCUUAUACCUUUCCCAUGCUUUAUAAAGUGAUUCAAAAUCAUGUUGCUUGAAUUGACCAAUCUCACCUCCUGAGUUG